rnacentral:rRNA from 1 species
GUGGGGAAUUUUGGACAAUGGGGGCAACCCUGAUCCAGCCAUGCCGCGUGAGUGAAGAAGGCCUUCGGGUUGUAAAGCUCUUUCGGCCGGGACGAAAUCGCAUGGGCGAAUAUCCUGUGUGGAUGACGGUACCGGAAGAAGAAGCACCGGCUAACUACGUGCCAGCAGCCGCGGUAAUACGUAGGGUGCGAGCGUUAAUCGGAAUUACUGGGCGUAAAGCGUGCGCAGGCGGUUUUGUAAGCCAGAUGUGAAAUCCCCGGGCUCAACCUGGGAACUGCAUUUGGGACUGCAAGGCUUGAGUACGGCAGAGGGGGGUAGAAUUCCUGGUGUAGCAGUGAAAUGCGUAGAUAUCAGGAGGAAUACCGAUGGCGAAGGCAGCCCCCUGGGUCGAUACUGACGCUCAUGCACGAAAGCGUGGGGAGCAAACAGGAUUAGAAACCCUGGUAGUCC